rnacentral:rRNA from 1 species
CCGCUGAACUUAAGCAUAUCAAUAAGCGGAGGAAAAGAAACCAACAGGGAUUGCCUCAGUAACGGCGAGUGAAGCGGCAACAGCUCAAAUUUGAAAUCUGGCUCUUUCGGAGUCCGAGUUGUAAUUUGUAGAGGAUGCUUCGGGUACGGCUCCGGUCUAAGUCCCUUGGAACAGGGCGUCAUAGAGGGUGAGAAUCCCGUACGUGACCGGCGACCACGCCCAUGUGAAGCUCCUUCGACGAGUCGAGUUGUUUGGGAAUGCAGCUCAAAACGGGUGGUAAAUUUCAUCUAAAGCUAAAUAUUGGCCAGAGACCGAUAGCGCACAAGUAGAGUGAUCGAAAGAUGAAAAGCACUUUGGAAAGAGAGUUAAACAGUACGUGAAAUUGUUGAAAGGGAAGCGCUUGCAACCAGACUUGCCCGUGGGUGAUCAGCCGGUAUUUUUACCGGUGCACUCGCCCGUGGUCAGGCCAGCAUCGGUUUGGGCGGCUGGAUAAAGACCCCCGGAACGUAGCUCCUCUCGGGGAGUGUUAUAGCCGGGGGUGCAAUGCGGCCCGCCCGGACCGAGGACCGCGCUUCGGCUAGGAUGCUGGCGUAAUGGUUGCAAGCGACCCGUCUUGAAACACGGA